rnacentral:rRNA from 1 species
GACGAACGCUGGCGGCGUGCCUAAUACAUGCAAGUCGAGCGCAGGAAACUGACGGAACUCUUCGGAGGGAAGGCAGUGGAAUGAGCGGCGGACGGGUGAGAAACACGUAAGGAACCUGCCUCAAGGAUUGGGAUAACUCCGAGAAAUCGGAGCUAAUACCGGAUAGUUCAACGGACCGCAUGGUCCGCUGAUGAAAGGCGCUUCGGCGUCACCUUGAGAUGGCCUUGCGGUGCAUUAGCUAGUUGGUGGGGUAACGGCCCACCAAGGCGACGAUGCAUAGCCGACCUGAGAGGGUGAUCGGCCACACUGGGACUGAGACACGGCCCAGACUCCUACGGGAGGCAGCAGUAGGGAAUCUUCCACAAUGGACGAAAGUCUGAUGGAGCAACGCCGCGUGAGUGAUAAAGGUUUUCGGAUCGUAAAACUCUGUUGUAAGGGAAGAACACGUACGAGAGGUAAUGCUCGUACCUUGACGGUACCUUACGAGAAAGCCACGGCUAACUACGUGCCAGCAGCCGCGGUAACAC